UGUUUUGACCUUACGCUUUUUGGUUAUUUUCCUUUCAGUUUGAUCAAGCUCUUCUACAAUUUGCGGAACAUCUUCAGCAUAUUCUUCUAAAAUAACGAUAGGAAGUGUUUCAUGAAUUUCCAUUAUAAUGUCAUCAACAUUAAGAGGUUCUUCAUGAACUUCCUCUUCCACGAAUUCCUUUGAAACAGGCUGAGAGUCGAUAGUGUUAAUUGUGAAUUCAUCGUACGAAGGAACAUCAUCUUGUUCAAUUAUGACCUCUUGUUCUUCCUUAGUUAAUGGCUUUGGUUUCUUAGACUUGGAUUUUUUAAUCGGUUCUUGCUGGCUAAUACCAAUUUCAAAAGCUUCACCUUCAUCAAGUGUGUCCUGAAGCGGCUUAGUCUUAAUCUUCUUGGGCUUCUUUGGCUUAGCGUCAAUUUCGGUUUUUUCAUAUUUUUCUAGUUCUGUUACUGGAAUUUCAGCAUUUAUCAGUUGUUGUAUAUAGGCAUCUAGGUCGUUCUUCUUCAUCUUUUUAGUUUUAAUUUUUGGCUUAUCGGUUGUGUCUUGACUAUCAAUUUUAUUUUCAGAUUCAGACGAUCUUAUUGUCACUUCAUAUAGUGGCUCCUCUCCGGGCAUUGAAACAGUUUCAACAAUCUCAACAAUUUCUUCAUCUUCUCCUCGUUUAUGCAGAAUUUUACGUUUUUUAGUUUUUUCUGCUGGUUUAUCAGUAGAAAUGUCUUCUGGUUGCAACUCAGUUAACUUAACCUCAUAGAAAUCGUGCAUAGUAUUUUCGUAGAAAUUUUGGUCAGGUUGUUCUUUCAGUUCUACUAUAAAUUCAUCCAAUUCGAGUUUAUUCAUGCGCUUCACUUUCUUUUUAAGAAUUUUCUUUUCCUUUGAAUCAGUUUCAUCAAUUUCUGAAGAAGUUACAGUUAUUUCAUAUAUUUUUUCAUCGGUAUCAUUUGGAGAAACGUCAACAAUUUCUACUAUGUUCUCUUCACGUUCUGUCUUAAGCUUUAAUUUACGUUUCUUCUUGGGUUCUGUUAUUGGAUUUUCUUCAGUUUGAUUGUCUUGCUCUUCCGAUUUUUCUUCAGGCUCUAAUUCUACCAACUCAUAUUUGAACGAUGGUUUCAAAUCUCCAAUUUCCUCGUCAUCCCUAUCCACAAACGGUAUCGAAUCAAGUGUUUCGUCGGUCUCCUUAGGUUUUCUCGCCUUCUUUUUCGGUUGUUUUUCUUCGAUUGGCUUCUCUGGCUUCUCUGUUAUAUCCUCGAUUUCUUUAUCCAACUUAACUGGUUUCAAUUCAACAGUUUCAAUGUCCUCAAUAUUUUGUGGAAUUUUUCCUUUACCAAUCUUUAGUUUGUUGGGUUCGUUAACUUCUUCGUCUUUGUUUUUCUUUGAACGUUUGUACUUUGAUUUCACUUGCUCUUCGCCUAUCGGUUUAUCCUCGUUGUCGAUGCUUUCUAUGUCAAAUGUUUCCAAAUCAGCUUUUUCGGGCUUGGUGUGCUUGAAUUUCUGAGGUCUUAGCUUUAAUAUUUCCUCAGCCUCUUCUAAAUUUCGAGAGAGCUGCCCAUUUUCUCGAUUGAUAUCCAGCUCAAUAACCGUAUACGGGAAACAAUAUGAUCGCCGUUUCUUCUCUUCCUGUGGUCGUUGCUUGGGUGUCUUCAAUUUCAACAUUUGCGGGAAUUCCGCCACUGAACUUAUUUGAAUCAUUUUCGGUUGUCUAACCUCAACCUUUUCAAUCUUCAUUGCAGUAAGCUUUAUUGGUUUAAUAGAAGAAUCACGACGAGCCCUUUGAGGAAGUUCCAUUUCUGUGCGAAGAUACGGUUGUAAAACCGUUUUAGGAAUCUCCUGAUGGAUAAGGAAUUGAAUAUAAUCAUCCAUUUCAUCCUUCUUUGACUUAAUGAUUUUCUUCUUUUUAGGUUUGUCUUUUUUCGAAAGUGGCCCUGGCUGGCUUUCAUCAACAGGACUUUGCUCAACCACAUCUUCACCUAAUUUAUCUUGAUCAACCUUAACCUUACGCUUCUUUUUAACUUUGUCUUUUGGCUCACUAGAUCCCCCUUCGAUUUCCCCAGUCUCGUCAAUCUGUUCGAAAUGAAUUGGUUGUGUCUUUUUCUGUUUUGGUUUUUUAUCUGUAGUCUGUGUAGGUAUGGUGUCUUCACUUACAUCAUCAGGUUCAGUGAUAGUGUACUCUUUGUUGUAUUGGUCUGUUUGAGAGAAAAUUAUGUGUUUGUGUGUUAGCACUAAACUAUUUUGUUAAAAUUAUAUUUGCAUUUUUUAUAAUGCUUUACAACACAUAAACUUUGGAUUUUGUAUAAAGUUUAGUGUUUAUAUACUUGCAUUUUCUGUUAAUCUAUAUUUAUAUCUAUAUUUGUAAUGUACGUAUUAGGCUCAUUUUUUUACAAAUACAUCCUGAGUACAUAUAACGUACACGUACUUAGGUAGAGUUUCAGAAAUAUUUGUUAGUACUAGUUAUAGUGCCAAAAUAUUUAAACAGAGUGUCUUGUAUUUAAGUAUUUAUGUUUUUGUUUUGUUUGAAUUUGUUUUGUGUUAAUGAAUUUGAAGCUAUUCGUGUAUCACUUUUAUUCAAAACAUAUAAGUCGCAAUCUCAAACCAAGUACAUAUUUAUGUAGUUGAGUUAAUUUAGAAACCUAUCUCGCAAAUACAUAUUUUUUAAAGGACUUGAUGUAAUCCAUCUCUAAUAUGUGUAAUUAAACCACAGUAUGCAUGUAUUUAUAUUUCAAUGUGCAAAAAAAAAGUAUUUUAAGAAAUUCACCUGUAGGCUCGCUGACUUCAGUAAUUUCAACGUUUGAUUGUGUAAUGUCAUCCACAUUGGGUUCUGUGUCACUGAGUACUUCCUCAACAACGAUGCCUUCCUCAUUUAAAUGUUGUAAUGUAAACUGGAUGUUCCGUUUCAGUGUGUUCUGGUUUCUCCGCUGUGUUCAUGUUUGUUGUGUAAUUUUCAUUGUUGUAAAAUGAUUGGAAAAAUUUGUUAAUAACAUUACAAAAAAAAAUAAUUGUUAUUAAGCUCUUUUUUUAAGCUCUAUAAAAAAUAGAUGUAAAAACUAAAAACAAUAUAGAGCGUCAAAAAUACAAAUUAUAAUGAAAUAACCCUAUUAAGAGUACAAUAUAAUAUUAAAUGGGUAUAGCGUAUACUUCAUUUUUUUUAGUUUUCGUGUAAGAUGUGGUGUAUGCAUGGUGUAGUGAAUUGUGUUCUUACCCCU